AUACGUAGGUGGCAAGCGUUGUCCGGAAUUAUUGGGCGUAAAGCGCGCGCAGGUGGUUCCUUAAGUCUGAUGUGAAAGCCCCCGGCUCGAACGGGGAGGGUCAUUGGAAACUGGGGAACUUGAGUGCAGAAGAGGAUAGUGGCAUUCCAAGUGUAGCGGUGACAUGCGUAGAGAUUUGGAGGAACACCAGUGGCGAAGGCGUCUGUCUGGUCUGUAACUGACACUGAGGCGCGAAAGCGUGGGGAGCAAACAGGAUUAGAUACCCUGGUAGUCCACGCCGUAAACGAUGAGUGCUAAGUGUUGGGGGGUUUCCGCCCCUCAGUGCUGCAGCUAACGCAUUAAGCACUCCGCCUGGGGAGUACGGUCGCAAGACUGAAACUCAAAUGAAUUGGCGGGG
rnacentral:rRNA from 1 species